UACGUAGGGUCCGAGCGUUGUCCGGAAUUAUUGGGCGUAAAGAGCUCGUAGGCGGUUUGUCGCGUCUGCUGUGAAAACCCGAGGCUCAACCUCGGGCCUGCAGUCGAUACGGGCAAACUAGAGUACUGCAGGGGAGACUGGAAUUCCUGGUGUAGCGGUGAAAUGCGCAGAUAUCAGGAGGAACACCGGUGGCGAAGGCGGGUCUCUGGGCAGUAACUGACGCUGAGGAGCGAAAGCGUGGGGAGCGAACAGG
rnacentral:rRNA from 1 species